CGGUUGAUCCUGCCGGAGGCCAUUGCUAUCGGAGUCCGAUUUAGCCAUGCUAGUCGUGCGAGUUCAGACUCGCGGCACCGAGCUCAGUAACACGUGGCCAAACUACCCUACAGAGACGGAUACCCUCGGGAAACUGAGGUUAACCCAUCAUACCGAUCUCAGGCUUGAAUCGCAGAGAUCACAAAACGCCCCGGCGCUGUAGGAUGUGGCUGCGGUUGAUUAGGUAGACGGUGGGGUAACGGCCCACCGUGCCCAUAAUCAGUACAGGUUGUGAGAGCAAGAACCUGGAGACGGAAUCUGAGACAAGAUUCCGGGCCCUACGGGGCGCAGCAGGCGCGAAACCUUUACACUGCACGCACGUGCGAUAAGGGGACUCCGAGUGCGAGGGCAUAUCGUCCUCGCUUUCGUGUACCGUAGGGUGGUACACCAACAAGGGCUGGGCAAGACCGGUGCCAGCCGCCGCGGUAAUACCGGCAGCCCGAGUGAUGGCCGAUCUUAUUGGGCCUAAAGCGUCCGUAGCUGGCUGCGCGAGUCCGUCGGGAAAUCCACUCGCCCAACGAGUGGGCGUCCGACGGAAACUGCACAGCUUGGGACCGGAAGGCUCGAAGGGUACGUUCGGGGUAGGAGUGAAAUCCUAUAAUCCCGCACGGACCACCGAUGGCGAAAGCACUUCGAGAAAACGGAUCCGACAGUGAGGGACGAAAGCCAGGGUCUCCAACCGGAUUAGAUACCCGGGUAGUC
rnacentral:rRNA from 1 species